AGGCCGAGCCGGGCGGGCGCAGCCAGUCCGAGUUCCGACCUCCUGCGUGCGGGUCGGGGGUCCCCCCCACGGCGGGGCCUGAGCCCGCUUUACACUUAGAAUCCGGAGGAUCAGGCCUCGGGAGUGUCUGGAGAGUGACCUGAACCCCGCCUGUGACUGCAAAGCAGCACACACACUCGCGGUUCUGGGGUUUGUUCGCAGACCAGCGCGCGCGCUCGGCCCCCGCAGGGCGCCCCCUGUGCGCGCCCACCCGAGCCGGGAGGAGCCGCCGUGCGCGGCCGCGCCCCACACCCGAUCCGCCCCGGGGAGGCCUCCCCGUCCUGCGUCCUCGCGGGCGUGACCUCGGGGAGCUUGGCGGGGGGCAGGUGGGCAGUUUCCUGGGCGCUUUCCAGGGUUCCCUUCCGUCAUCUGCAGGGCUGGAAGGCUGCGCGCGGAGCGGAGCGGAGACCAGAAUCUCAAGCCUGAGAGUCAGACUGCCUUGGUCCUGAGUUCUGCCUGGUAAGAGUCUGGCACCAGCUCCCCUCCUCCACCAAGGUCAGUAUCGUCAGCACAGGGCACUGGAAUCCCACAGCCAACCUGUCUGUCACACUUGAACUGAAACAAUAAGGACCUCUACUCUUCCAUCUGUAAGUAGUUGGCAGAGUGGGCUUGUGGGUUGUCACCUCUCCCCUGCCAUGAAGUUCCCGAGUGUCAUACCAUCUGUUAAUUCACCCCCAGCCUCACUAAUUCUUAUGUGCCUGAACUCCCACUUUCCCUAACAUUAAUUACCCACAGUUACCACUCUCUAUGGUCUGCUGCUGUGUUUGGGGGGUGCUUUGGGCAUGUCUCUAAAAGAUUCAUGUGCUGGCGUUUGUUGCUGGUGUGGGGUAUUGGCAGGCUGUAGACAGCUUCCCUUCCAAGUAAACCAAUUAGCUUCCUAAAGUACAGCUAGAGAAAAGACACCAUGUACAUGUGGACAUCUUACUGUAGCUAUCCUGUAACCCACCAUUAACUCUAAUCAGCUUCACAAAAAAAAAAAAAAAAAAAAAAAAAAAAAAAAAAAGACCAAUCUUCUUA